AUGGCCACAUCAUGUUGAAACACUAGCUUCCAUACAAUAACCAAAGUUAAACAGUGUUGAACCAGGCCAGUACUUUGAUGGGUGACCAUUUGGUAAUACCAUGUGCUGUAAG